GCAGAGACAAGGCUGCGAGGCUCGAUACGUACAAGAUUUGCUCUUUCGCAUUUCUAUCACAUCUUUCGAGCGGGCCAAGGUCUGAGCCAUCCAAAUUUGCCUCUUGCUGUGUGCCGCUGUCAUUGGCUGGUCAGGUCUACCAGAAAACUAGGCUGUUCGUGCACUCUUGUGCAGAGCUGCGUACCGUGCGGAACCGUGCGUACGUUAGUGCGAUCGCGAUCACGUCGGUCAAGCCACAGCCUUGGCAGUGACCUGGAUGAUGGGCAUUCCUUUUCUAGUAGACUGGAUGUGGGUCUUUCUUCCUGGACUGCGUAUGUUUUGUGCGGUAUUGUUGCUAUGGCGAGGUCCGUACGAUUCUCAGCGCGGCCCGGGAGUUGUUUGCCUCAGUGUCCGUCGAUAGGUGGAAUGUCAUUGAGUGCAAUUCGCAGCAUGUGCUGGUCCUUGGAGACCCACAAAAACUCAAUUCAGACUACUCUGGCUCUGC
rnacentral:RNase_P_RNA from 2 species